CCUACGGGAGGCAGCAGUGGGGAAUAUUGCACAAUGGGGGAAACCCUGAUGCAGCGACGCCGCGUGGAGGAAGAAGGUCUUCGGAUUGUAAACUCCUGUUGUUGAGGAAUGAUAAUGACGGUACUCAACAAGGAAGUGACGGCUAACUACGUGCCAGCAG
rnacentral:rRNA from 1 species